ensembl:lncRNA
CCAAUGUCUUAACCACUGAGCUACCACUGCCCACUGUAGUGAGUAGUAAGUAGUGUAAUAGUGAGUAAUAAGUAAUGAGUAGUGAGUAGUAAGUAAUGAGUAGUGAGUAGGGAGUAGUGAAUAGUAAGUAAUGAGUAGUGAGUAGUGAGUAGGGAGUAGUGAAUAGUAAGUAGUGAGUAGGGAGUAAUGAGUAGUGAGUAGUAAGUAGUGAGUAGUAAGUAAUGAGUAGUGAGUAGGGAGUAGUGAGUAGUAAGUAGUGAGUAGGGAGUAGUGAGUAGUAAGUAGUGAGUAGUGAGUAGUAAGUAGUGAGUAGUGAGUAAUGAGUAGUGAGUAAUGAGUAGUGAGUAGUAAGUAGUGAGUAGGGAGUAGGGAGUAGUAAGUAGUUGGUAGUAAGUAGUGUAAUAGUGAGUAGUAAGUAAUGAGUAGUGAGUAGGGAGUAGUGAAUAGUAAGUAAUGAGUAGUGAAUAGUAGUAGGGAGUAGUGAGUAGGGAGUAAUGAGUAGUGAGUAGGGAGUAGGGAGUAGUGAGUAGGGAGUAGUAAGUAAUGAGUAGUGAGUAGAAAGUAGUGAGUUGUAAGUAUGAGUAGUGAGUAGGGAGUAGGGAGUAGUGAGUAGUAAGUAAUGAGUAGUGGUAAUGAGUAGUGAGUAGUAAGUAGUGAGUAGGGAGUAGUGAGUAGUGAGUAGGGAGUAGUAAGCAAUGAGUAGUGAGUAGUAAGUAGUAAGUAGUGAGUAAUGAGUAGUGAGUAGUGAGUAGUAAGUAAUGAGUAUGGAGUAGUGAGUAGGGAGUAGUGAGUAAGGGAGUAGUGAGUAGUGGUAAGGGAGUAGGGAGUAGUAAGUAAUGAGUAGUAAGUAAUGAGUAGUGAGUAGUAAGUAGUGAGUAGUAAGUAAUGAGUAGUGAGUAGUGAGUAGUAAGUAAUGAGUAGUGAGUAAUGAGUAGUG